rnacentral:lncRNA from 1 species
AUGGCUGACAGGAAGAAUGCGAAUCGGCUGAGUGGGACCUGGAACGGCUCUGUGCCGCUGAAAGAACCUUCUUCAUCAAACGGCAAGAGGCCUGCAUCCUCUAAGAGCAAAUCAGGAGGAAUGAUCCAUAAAACCCCACCAGAAACACUUCCCAAACAGCCGGCUUCACAGAGGUCAUCGCAGAAAGCCGAAGCCAAGGUCAAACCCCCGCUGGCACCCAAGCCCCAGCUUCUGCCCAAACCCCAAAACGUCCCCCCCAGGUCUCCUCAACAUGGCCGCUCUUACGCCCAAUGCAACGGGGAGGCCUCUGGCCGUCACUCCUCAGAGCUCCUUGAGAUGGAGCCGGAAACAAUGGAGUUUAAGUCGGUCACCUCUGGAGGCCUGCCCCUCUCCUCGCCGCUGGUUACUGCAGUGCGGCGCAGCCAGCAGACGCAUCCGAUCCCCUCUAAUCCAACACAACCGAGAGGCAAAACGCAAGAGAACGGCGUCAAACUAGACAACCGGCCAACACUGGAUAACCAGCAGAUACAGGGGAAUAAAUCGAGUGUCGUUUUCAAUGACAACAUUAAUGUAGCUGAUGUGAAUGGAACAUCUAAAGUCGAAGGGAAGAGCAAUGGGCAUGGGCCGUCCAGGGAUACGCAGGCACUUGUGAAAGGUGGCGAUCAUCCGGCCAAGAAGAGGCAACCCCCCUUGCCGCCAAUAUUGUUCUCUAACUUUAAGCAGCCUCCUCCAGUGUCCCCUAAACCCAUGUCCCCCAUUGAUCGCGACCGGUGCCCUCUCUCCCUCCCAGCCAGCACUCCUGUCUCCCCAAGUGAUCCGAUGAAAGUCUUCAAGGAUGGCCUCACCCCUCCCAACGGCAUCCACCCUUGGAGUAGCCGCAACGGCAGCGUCCAGUCAGGACCCAGGAGGGUCUCCCUGAGCCAUGAGAGCCUGUCGCCCAAGAACGCAGACGCCCCUCUGAGCCUCACCACCUCCCUCACCUCGUCCUCCUCCAAGGGGAUGGGGGUGAUGGAAGGCAGGGAACCAGGGAGGUCCGGGUCUGGGUCCGACCUGAGGACCAGCUCCUCCAGCCUGGGAGGCCGGCUGCCCGCGUCCGCCCUGAGGGGCAGGAUCCAAGCCCUGCCCUGGUACAUGACCCGUUCCCAGGAGAUCCUGGGCACUCUGGACUAUCCCUCCACCACCUCCAUCAACGGGGACACGUCGGGCUUCGGCUCCGGGCUGUCGGUGGCCAGCGGGGCGUCGGACCUGAACAAGACCCCCGUCAAGGACAAGGACGCCGCGGCUCCGAAGACCACCGGGAAGGGGAAGGACCUGGAGGAAGGGGCGGAGGUUGUCAUAGCAACCAUCAAAGAGGCCCAACAGGUGACCUCGCUCAUGAGGAGGGCCAGCGAGACCAACGGGUCGCACUCAAACCUGAGCCUCAAGGACAACGGUUCCCACGGUGACGGCGUUUCCUCAGAGCAGCCCCAGUCGCGGCCCCACUCGGGGGUAGGGUUAGGGGGCGUGCCCAGUAUCCCCAUCGGGGGGGACUCUCCGUCCUCGUCAGUGGCCGAGGGAACCCCCCCGCAGCCGUCCAAAGAGGCCUGCGGCUGCCGCACCGUCUACGCCAACUGCUUCAGCGGCGACGCCGAGGAGGGCGUGGGCUUCGACGAGGAACUCACUAUUUACGAGUUCUCCCGUCGAACGCGGCCCAAGCCGCCGCGACCGCCCGUGGUCCCGUCGCCGACCUCCACCUCUCCCUCGCCCAACCCGACCAUUUUGUCCCUGCUCAAGGACAACCCGCGGCCGCUCUCCACCUUCUCCACCGCCUCCGCUGAGCUCAGCCCCCUGGUCUCACACCCGGCCUCCCCCACGCACGGAUUCAGCGGUCCCCUUCGCUCCCUGUCCAACAAGCGCUACGGUGGACUGAAGGGCGGGUUCGCCUCGCUGCGUCAAGAUAUCGACCAACUUCUACUGGUGUUGGAGAGGGGGACGGUGGACUGGGCACAGCAGGUACCAAGCACGGAUCCAACCCAGGACAAGACAGCCAGGCAAGCCGGCUCUGAGGGCGACGACAUCCCAUCACUGCUCCCGAAAUGUCCUGGACAGGGCACCGCUUUCAUGAGCGAGGCGGAACGAAGUCUCCUCCAGGCCGAGGCGCGGAGGUUAGCGACCGGCUGCCAGCGAGCCACGCGGGUGGGCUGGGCGCCUGAUGAGGCGCUGCGGUCCUUAUCCAACAGCUUCAGCGCGCUGGUCCAGCUGUCUGCGGCCUGCCUGCGGGCCCACCCCUGCCCGGGCUGCGAGGUCUGCCACAACGGGGGCUUUUCCGAAGACAUGGAGGACGAAGGCGAGGAGACCUUGGACAAGCUGAAGGAGAUAGUGGGUCUCUACCGGGAGUUUGUCGGCGAUGUGGAGACCGCCGGGACCAGCGUUGGGGUGGGAGCACGGAGCGGUCUCACCGGGACCGGUCUGGGACAGGGGGACGGCGAGGGGGUGAGGCUGCUGGCUAAACGUUGCACGGUUCUCAUCUCGUCUGUUUUCGCCCUCACACAACUCUUCCGCACACGCUCACCAGACACCUCAGAGGCUCCUAGCCAUGCACCUCUGAACUUCUGA